rnacentral:rRNA from 1 species
GCUGAACUUAAGCAUAUCAAUAAGCGGAGGAAAAGAAACUAACAAGGAUUCCCUUAGUAGCGGCGAGCGAACCGGGAUCGGCCCAACUUGUAAAUCAUUAGCCUUUGGCUGAUUGAAUUGUAGUCUCAAGAUGCGUUCUCUGCGGUGAGCAGUGCCCAAUUUUCCUUGGAAAAGGGAGUCAGAGAGGGUGAGAACCCCGUCGGCACUUGCUUCAACUGCUCCACGAGGCGCUUUCUCAGAGUCGGGUUGCUUGGGAAUGCAGCCCUAAGUAGGUGGUAAAUCCCAUCUAAGGCUAAAUAUUGACGGGAGACCGAUAGCGAACAAGUACCGUGAGGGAAAGAUGAAAAGAACUUUGAAAAGAGAGUCAAAAGUGCUUGAAAUUGUUGAGGGGGAAGGAAUUGGAAGCCGUUUGUGCACCUGGGCUUAUGUUGGCAGUUCUGCUUUCUGUAUGCACCAGGAGCCGGUCAGCAUCGGCUAUCAGACCGGGAUAAUAACUCUACUUUGUGGAGUGCAUGCCGGCUUGGUGGCUGAGGAAUUGCAAGGCGCAGUAGUCCUUCGGGAACGGCACCUUCAAGAUGCUGGCAGAAGGCCUUCAAUUCGCCCGUCUUGAAACACGGACCAAGGAGUCUAACAUGUAUGCGAGCCGGUGGGUUUGACACCCAUGAGACGCAAGUAACCUGACUGGUGGGAUGGGUAAUACCUGCACCAUCGACCGACCAUGAUCUUCUGUGAAAGGUUUGAGUACGAGCAUACCUGUUGGGACCCGAAAGAUGGUGAACUAUGCCUGAGCAGGGCGAAGCCAGAGGAAACUCUGGUGGAGGCUCGUAGAUGUGCUGACGUGCAAAUCGCUUCG